UAUUCUUCUUCUUCUCUCCUUCGUUUUUUUUCUUCUCCUCUGCUCGAGUUCUGUUAAUGGCGAUUGAUGCUGUUGAGAAGAGUUUGUGAUGAGAAAGAUCAAUUUAGGUACUAGGUGUUAUUGCUGAGGAUGAAUCGAUGAUUUACAAAGAAGGUGUUUAGAAAUUGAAAUAGUAAAUCACAGAGAAUCAGAAUUAGGGUUUAGGUCGAAUUUGAGAAGUGAAUUGAGUUGUUAAUGAAAGAAGAAUUGAUGGGUUCUUAUUAAUUUAGUGAGAUGAAGUGGUUUUGAUGAUGAAUUGAAGAAUUUAAGGUUUUGAGGUUGAUGUCGAGUACAUGUUGAAAUUGAUAAGUGAUUCGGGUUGUUGUUGAUGGGAGAUGGGUUUGGUUGAAUUGAGGGGUUGAAUGGAUGUCUUGAACUCGAAUUGGGGAGUAAGAAUCGAUCUAGGGUUCAUCUGAGGGUUGAUGGUGAUGAUUGAGACUUAGGAUUUUUAUAUGAGAUCGAGAAGAGAAGACUAAUAUCAGAAUAUAAUUGAUGACGGUGUGUUGCUUCAAAGUUUGUUUCAAACUCAGGGGAGAUGGGAAUUAGGUUUCAGCAUCAGUGGGUGGUUGAACAUCAAUUCAGGGAAGACUAUUGUUGGAUGCUAGCCCAUUGCAGAUGGUUGACGGUAAUUGUAGCUGAGAUGCAUAAUGUUAGAAAGAAUCUGGUAUGGAAUUGAAAUGGGCAAUUCAGUGGUGAGGCUAUAGUUACUGAUUGAAGUAACACAGUUGAAGUGGAGUUGCAGUUCUAGAUAAUUGUACUAAUUAAAAGUAGUCAUGGUAUUAAAUUUUAGUUGUAGUUAAUCUGAAGAUGAUGGUGAUUCAGUUUAGUGGAUGUGUUGCUAAAAGCUACAACUGCAGGUAAUUGAGUUGUAUUAGUGUUUGUAAUUGAGUUGUAUUAGUGUUUGUAAUUGGAUUGAAGUUGUUUUGAUUGAAUAAUUGUACAUAAA